CUUCACUGUAAUCACUUUUCCUCUUAUUUUAUCAGUUACAUCUAUCUUUUAUUGCACCAUAUUUAUCACUCAUUGAUUUAGGCUUUAAAACAGCCUUAACUUUUAUUACCACGUGAUAUUAAAAGACAAACAUAUUAAAUAUUACCAGCAAACUUUUAAUAAGGAAAAAUGGAAACCCUCUGGUACCACAGAGCAGAGCCGUCUCGGAGCGUGCGCGCAAUGCCCGUUCCGAAUGGGCGGAGAUGCUGCACAGAAGCGGAAGUGGUCACAGCACAGGCUGUGGACGUAAGAAUCGGGAUGUAGAUUCUGGUUCUGGUGCUUGUAAGUUCUAAAGACUUGCUCAAGUCCUUUAAACUCUCUGAACUGCCGUUUUCUCAUUUGUCAGAUUGGGGAAAUAAGAUGCGCGAAUCAAGGUACCCUCAAGUUGCUCUCUUAGAAAUCCACGGAUAACAGCUAUUGACAAACCUCUCAUGCUCCAUGUGCCGUAUCAGCCCAAGGCAAACGAUGAUAAGUCCCACUCCAGGUGCAAUUUCUAUUGCCUAAAGACUAAAGUAUAAAAUUGACAUCCAACAACUUGUGCAUGAAGUAAAAAUGGGAAGGAGAGAAAAGAAGAAAAUAGUAAGUACAUGCAAAGAAACACACAUGUAAAGAAGAGAAAGCAUGGAGAGCUGCUGCUGUCCUUGUUUCCGUGAUUGGUCCUGAGGUUGUCGUUGCGAUCUCUGGUUUCUUUCUUCAAUACCCAUUCUGCAUCUCCCUCGCCCUUAGCCAGAACCUCAGCUGCUCUGGGUUCUUCACCCGGUGGAGUCAUGCAAACCUGCAUUCCAUAAGGGACUGAGUCCUUGUUAUCCUGCCUGUUUUUAGGUUACUGUAGUCUUCCAUUAUCCUUUACUAUUGGGCACAGAAGUACCAAAGGGACCCUAAAGAUUUCCAAGGGUUCCAGAUUGCCCCCAUUCUGUAGCAGCAACCCAAGUUGUCCUUGGUAAUCAGGUGUAAUCAUUUAAGCCAGAAAAUUGACCCAUUUUUGUUUGCCUACUGGUUUAGCACAUAAAGAGCCCCAAAUGGCCAUGUGUCAGUUUCACCCUCCAGUUCAGUGGCAGAACUGCCAUGUUCCCUGGUGGAAGCAUUUCCCUCUUGAAGACUAAGAGCUCUAAACCAGCACAGCUCAAGGUUUCUUCUUCACUAGCUGCUCACAACUGGCAGCUGUGUGGAUGACUCUUCAGAUGAGUUGAAGCACCAAAUUCAAAUGCGCUCUACAGUACCUCCAAAAUUCAGGAAGGCUUCUGUGCGUCACAGGUGGUGCAAGGUACAGCAACCUGUUCCUCACUUUGCAGAGGACAUCUUGGCGUGGUCCAGACUACCAAACUCCUGGAAACUUCACCGAGGGGGGAGGGCCCUGAAUUUUUAUGGGGUUCUGCCCUCUCACUUGCGUCUGUUUUAUUAAGGCAUUUAACGUAUUUACUACUUUCUGCUCAUCGAAUCCAAUCCAGGGAAUGUAGUGAACCAGGUGAUGUUUUGUGCAAUAUCUAGAGAUAUUUAUGUGGUUUUCAGUCACUUGCGUGUACAGUUGGCUUAUUGUCAAUCAUUCGUAUAAAUUUAUGUAUAUAUAUAUAUACCCACAUAAAAGACACACCAUACCUGUUCACUGAGCAUUGUAACAGGAAAGCGCAUGGCUAGAUAUCACACAAAAUGUGAACUUUGGCAACCACUACUGGAAGCGAGUGAGUGAGUGGUGAGGAGUGAAGAAGAAACAAGGUAUAAAAUAAGCAAAGGCAGAAGCUAAUGGCGGAAAUUUCUCACAGUCGUCAAAUGUAUAUCUGUAAGUAGAGGCUUCAGGUCUCAUAAAAACUAACACAAAAUGGAAGUUCUCUUUAUUAUUUGAUAAUGAAGCGUAUACUAUUAUAAAGCCUCACACCAUUUUUUUCUUUUUUGAUGGGAAUAAAAUGAAAUAGGAUCAAUAAGAAUCCCUUUGUAGAGCAUGAACCUGUGGCAGUACUGCCUACAGCAAAAACAUUUGUCUGUGAAAUCACAUUUUAUGCACCUCACUGAACAAUAAUAAAAAAAUUUUUAUCAACUAUGUACAAAAAAAAGACUGACUAUUUUCUCGAUUAGAAUUGUGACAAAAUACUUGUCAUUUGAAGAGGAAAUCCAAGAGCAUGCACCUCCAAGCCCCCACAAGUGGUUGGGUACCAUUUAUUUAUGGAUUUGCAUAUGUGUUAUUUCUUCCAGUAGGUGGCAGUAAAGGGUCUCAUUCUAAAUCGAUUAGUCUAUUAUAACAAUUUCUGACAGAUGAAAAUAAAAUGUCUUGAGGACAAGGAUUCUUUUUCCUGAUUUAGACAAAGGUGCUAUAUGGUCCAAUGGCCAUGCUGACCCGUUUCAGUUAUAUGAGAAUUCUAACCUAAAACUCAAAUGCAAAUGUAAUUCCCCGAGCCUGGUAACCUACAAAUCCACUGAAUUAUCUUACCCUGGGAUAAUCUGGAGGAGGAAAGGGGACACAUAUUGACAGCAGCAUAUUGUUUCUUUGGGGAGGAUCUUCUUCUACCCUUAGUGAGGCAUAUUUUUCUGGAUCAAGUUACUACAUCUUUUGCAAAAGAGCUAAUCUGUUAAACUCAUGGUUGGUAACUCCCAACCAAAACAUUCACUGGAUAAGGUUGAAAAUAUUCAAGACAAUGUGAUCUAAACAUGAUAUCAGUUUGGACCUGCUACUGGUUUUAUGGAAAGUUCUAGUCUUCCUUUUCAAAUAUAUAUGUGUAGGACUAUAUGUACCCUUAGAGGAAUAUAGUUAUUCUAAAUGUGCUUUAGAAACCCAGAAUUUUCAUAUGUUAAGAAUGGAUGGAUGGUUCUAUAAAAAUUAGUGUUUCUACAGUAUCACGGUAGGCAGGGAAGUUAAGUACUCAGAGAACAUGAGUUAAAAACCAAAGCUGAUGAACAGCAGGACUGGCUUGCAGGUGGGACUGAAGAGGCAGCGUGCAGCUGAGAGCUUUGAGAAUAGCAUCAAGUGGAAACAGGAACAAAUGAUUUUUAAUAGUGGAAAGGCUUACACAUCACCCUUAACUAAAAGAUCACGAGUGGAUGUGCCUGAUCAGUUAUUCUUUUAACUGAAGAUUAAUGCAAGUUGUUCCAUUAUUUUAGCUGCUUAAGAUGCCCACGUAUUUGAUAUAGCUUUAGCUGGCCUGCGGUACUUGACAGAUCAGAAUAAAAAGUCUUGUUUCAAACCAAAAAGCAUUAUAAUCCACAUUAAAGAUAUUUGACAGGGGAGCUCCUCCUUGUUAAGUCAUUUUCCUUGUGUCUUAAAAUCUAAGAAUGGUACAAAUUAGACUGUUUGUACUUAAUUUUCAUCUUUGACUGGAAAACUUUAAAAGUUUAAAGAAUCUAUUUGCCAUUGAUUCCACCUGUCAGUCAAUAAGAUAGACUUUCUUUGGGGAAUUCUCUCUUCUCCCCAUGCUCUUUUGUGAUUCUACACCACACAAGAUUCUUAAACAUCAAAAAAUAUAUAUUUUUCUGGAAUAAUCCACCACUCCCAUUAUUAUAGUCUCAUUACGCAAAGUGUGAAUUUUUGUUGUUGUCUUUUUAGGAUGUGCCUGGUGUCUAUGUGGGGGGGGGGGUGCUUUGGGGUUUUUGCAGAGGCUUAUUUUAUUUGUUCCCUUUGGGUUUUUGAUUUGAAGCAAGUGCUUUAGCCACAUAUGAGGUUUUACUAAAUCAGGCUGACUUCCUUGUGAAUAAGUAUCUUCUCCCUCCAGAGACUAGUACCUAUUAAAAUGUGGCCCCACCUCUCCCAACAAAUAAAAAGUCAUCCAAAGUAAAAGCACCUUAGAAAUGCUUAGUUCCUCACUGUUAGCAAUCAAAGGGGCAGAGUAGUUAGAAAUGUGAAUGCAAGUGGCAUCCCUGUGUGCCAGUGGGCAGGAAAGGGUCCAAGGAUAAAACAAGAAAAUGAGGAUAUUUAGAAAAGCUUUGAGACAGAAGGAGAAUGAUUUAAUGAGAGGCUACUUGUUAAAGGCAGCUCCGGGAGGGCUGAAAUCAAGAGGUUGCUCAGCAUGCCAUAGGUCCAGAAAGGGUUCUUUUAGAGACAUUUGUGUGGAUAGGAGAGCAAUCUAUUACUGCUUGGUUUGAAACAACUGAACCAUAUGACAUUUAGGGUUCCCUUUUUUUCAUUGAGGAGCUUCUUGGAAUACAAUAUGGCCUCACUUAAAGGAAGGAGACAUACAGAGAGAGAAGUAGAGAAAAGAGAAGGAGAGAACAGGAGAUGAAAGCAGAGAGAUCUGUAGCUUGAUGUGAAAGUGGAACAAAUUAUGGAGAGUGAUGGGUCUAUAAAUUCCUGAUUAAUGUGCUAAGUUGGGUUGAAAACAAGGCUACUACUUAUAAAUUAUCUUCUUAUAUUACCCCAAAAUUGGCAACCAAGGCUCCCAAAUGAAGGACAUACAUGCUCUAAGAUAAACACCAACAACUGGGGACAAGACGCCACCUCAAGGAUGUACUAAAAGAUUCAGAACCAGCCCUACCACAGUCACCUUGUCCCCCACUGUCACCCUGAUCUCUUACAUUCAUCAAUGGAUGCUUGAGGAAAGAGGAAGGAGAGACCCGUCUGCAUCGUGUGUUUUCAGUCUAGUAGAGUUUCGAGGGAGAUGGGUGCUUCUCUUCCCGCCUCACCCAAAGCACAAGAGAAAUACACCGUGAAUGACUGGCGAAGCCUGGGGUGCCUUCAAGAAGAGGAGAUGAGCAUUGUCUUUGCUGGGCCCCUUGAGAGAGGCAGUACCCGGAUGCUUAUCGCCAGCAGCCCCUUGUCCAUAAAGCUGAGGAAGCUGAAUCUUCCCAAGUCUGAGAAGCGGCUGAACGAUAUGCUCUGCAAAGUUAUUUCAGCUUGAGGCUCCAUUCAACCUGGAACCCCACUGGCUUGUCCUAUAAAAGCCUUGAAGGCCAGUCAGUGUUGGAGGAGAAGUGGUAACCAACAGAGAAGAUCACUGCCAUGAGUCGCUAAGUUCCCAGUCCCAGCAUCCAACAUCAGAAGAGUUUGCUUUUGAUAAGGAGGAUGUAUCCUCAAACCAGCUCAUGGCCCCACCUACUUCUGCUCCAAGGAGCAGGAGUGGCAAGAGGCUAGAAAGAGCAGACCACACUCCCUCCCUCUUUAGAUCUGCUGUAUCUGCAGCCUGGCCCUUGAUGGAGUUUAAAAAAAAAUUAUAUGACUUUGAAUCAAAUAUGAAAGUAUAAUCUUAACUCAAUUGGGCUGGACUUUUAAUAACAGAAAGAUACCAAAAAGUUGUGGAAUCUGCCCAAGAUGUUGUUAAGGGACCCAUUACCUACUCGGAAAAGAAGAUUCCACGGAACACAUUUGGAGACAGUGAGUGGACAAAAAAUAAGACUGUAUAAUGUCUUGCUCCCAUCUAGUUACGUCUAUGCAAGCAGGGAAGAGAAAACAAUAACACACCAACUUGGACUAGAAGUAGAGAUAAGCACGGCACUGGAUGCCUGAUCACUGUCUAAGCAGGAGGGAGCAAGAGGACUGUGGUCAAAAAUUACCUACUUGUUAUUUACCUUAAAUUUAUGUUAAAAAAUAAGUUGAUCCCUAAGUGAGUAACUAAUCUAGAACUGGGGUCACCCAUAACAAAGAUGAGUUGCAGGAGAGGGGGUUUUCAAACAUAAGGACAAGUAAUAUUUUAACUCUUGGGAUGUUAUCAGAAAGUAAUCAGCACCAGCCUAUGGGUUUGGGGGGACUCGGGGGGAACAGGUUGUAGGGAAAGGAAAGCAUCACCAUUUUGUUUGGGAUUUCCCAUAUUCCUCAUAGAUCUUACCAUAGCAGAGAACAUUUAAUUAAAGGAACAGUUAGCUGCCUGGGACUUGGCAGGUGCCUAGCAAUGCAAGGUGGCACCACAAGAGCUUCACCCAGCUUCCUCCACCCUCUUCCUUCCUAAUCAUCUUCAUCCUGUUUUACUGAGCUGGAGUCAGAAGAAGCGGCAUCUUGUAAGCAGAUAGGUGGCAAACCUACCUCUGUACAUUCAUUUCACUUGAGAGCUCCUGAUAUUUUCUUAGGUACUGUACUUUGAUCUCCCACCACUCCAUCCUCCACCUCCUGCCAAAGUGAUGCCAAAAUGCACGUCAGGUCAGAUCACUCAUCGGCUUAAAAUUAUCCAGUGGCUCCCCUUCCCUGGAGGAGGAAAUGGAAAGUUUUUAACUUGGCAUAUUAAGUCCUUCUUGAUCAGAUCCCAGCCUUGUCUAAAGUCUCAUCCACUACAUUCCACCUCAGAUGUCAUUGCUAUAACGGCACUGAGCCAACCGCUGCGCCCUUGCUCUGUUUUGCACCUUUUGAAUAGUCCCAUACUCUUCCCGAAAUUCUCUUUCUCCUUUGCUGGUUCCCAUCCUCACCCCCAUGACUCAAUUGAAGAGAGUCAUCACCUCUGGAUGGUCUUCCAGGACUCCUGCUUCCCCGUAUCAAGGAGCACUUUUUUGUACAAAGCACCUUGUUCUGUUGGUUGGUCUAGCAUUUAUCUAAUUGAAUUGUAAGCAUUUUUUUUUCUACUUUUCUAUCUCUACUAAUGGACAUUGAAGACUUUGAGAUCUGGGACAGAACCUGGUACCUGGUAAUUGCUCAAGAACUAUUUCUUUAUUUAUUGAAUGAGUGAGGAGGAGCUUGUGUGGGAAAUGGGAUAGCAAGGGAACAAGUUGGCAGCCUUUUCAAGUGACAGUUAGGUCCUGACUCACACACAGCGAUGGCACAGCGGUACUAGAAAGGUUGGAGAGAUAUUUCUGAAGGAAAUGUAAGGUCCAUGAAGGAAAUGAUGUGGGGUUUAAGAAGAGAAGGGAGUUGAGGAUGAUGACCUUUCUAGAUAAGAAGAUGACAAGACAUGUUAUCAUUAAAUCACUGGGUUUGGGAGUCUGACUAAUGAAUUUACAAUUGGAAAUGUUGACAAGUUUCUUUCAUGUCAACUCAUCUUCGUUUAUUGGUUUUCUCCAGGUCUCUUCAGUCCUUGGUUCUACGUCACACCUCAUCACUACCCUUUACUUACUAAACACACCCUCAGUGUCUCAUGCUCAAAACCUAAGCAUAGAGGGGCCAAGUGGAGACUGCAUGACUUGUAAACACCAGCUGGCUCUGCUAAGAGGUGCUGAGGUUCCACGUUAUUCGACCAACUCAACAAUCACUUUUGACUGUUGCUGAAUAUUCUGCCAGCAUGUGGCUCUCAGAAGCUUCAGAAUAAAGCCAACCACCAAAGCAAAUGGCUACUGCUUAUAAAACUGACCUAUUUCUCUGUAG